rnacentral:rRNA from 1 species
ACCAGACUCCUACGGGAGGCAGCAGUGGGGGAUAUUGCACAAUGGGGGGAACCCUGAUGCAGCGACGCCGCGUGGGUGAAGGAGCGUUUCGGCGCGUAAAGCCCUAUCGGCAGGGAAGAAGAUGACGGUACCUGACUAAGAAGCACCGGCUAAAUACGUGCCAGCAGCCGCGGUAAUACGUAUGGUGCAAGCGUUAUCCGGAUUUACUGGGUGUAAAGGGAGCGCAGGCGGCGCGUUAAGCCUGGUGUGAAAGCCCGCGGCCCAACCGCGGGACUGCAUUGGGAACUGGCGCGCUGGAGUGCCGGAGGGGUAGGCGGAAUUCCUAGUGUAGCGGUGAAAUGCGUAGAUAUUAGGAGGAACACCAGUGGCGAAGGCGGCCUACUGGACGGUGACUGACGCUGAGGCUCGAAAGCGUGGGGAGCAAACAGGAUUAGAUACCCCAGUA